rnacentral:rRNA from 1 species
AUCUCGGCUCUCGCAUCGAUGAAGAACGUAGCGAAAUGCGAUACUUGGUGUGAAUUGCAGAAUCCCGUGAACCAUCGAGUCUUUGAACGCAAGUUGCGCCCAAAGCCAUUAGGCCGAGGGCACGCCUGCCUGGGCGUCACACGUCGUUGCCCCCCCCAAUC